UCUCAGCACUUUGACUGGAGCUCCGCAUGGAUUUGAGAGCUCACAAACUGCCGGGCGUAGGGAGUGGCUGGAGCGGCCACUCUGGGUUGAUACCUC